rnacentral:rRNA from 1 species
UACGGAGGGUGCGAGCGUUGUCCGGAAUCACUGGGCGUAAAGGGCGCGUAGGUGGCCUGUGGAAGUCUGCGGUGAAAGCCCGGCGCUCAACGCCGGGUCGGCCGUGGAUACUCUCGGGCUCGAGCUUACUAGAGGCAGAUGGAAUUCCGGGUGUAGCGGUGGAAUGCGUAGAGAUCGGGAGGAACAUCAGUGGCGAAGGCGGCCAUCUGGGACAACACUGACGCUGAGGCACGAAAGCGUGGGGAGCAAACAGG